rnacentral:rRNA from 1 species
CCUACGGGUGGCAGCAGUGAGGAAUAUUGGUCAAUGGACGAGAGUCUGAACCAGCCAAGUAGCGUGAAGGAUGACUGCCCUAUGGGUUGUAAACUUCUUUUAUAUGGGAAUAAAACAGGGUAUGCAUACCCUCUUGUAUGUACCAUAUGAAUAAGGAUCGGCUAACUCCGUGCCAGCAGCCGCGGUAAUACGGAGGAUCCGAGCGUUAUCCGGAGUUAUUGGGUUUAAAGGGAGCGUAGGUGGAUUGUUAAGUCAGUUGUGAAAGUUUGCGGCUCAACCGUAAAAUUGCAGUUGAAACUGGGAGUCUUGAGUCCAGUAGAGGUGGGCGAAAUGAGAGGAGUGGCAGGGAAAUGCUU